AUUGAACGCUGGCGGCAGGCCUAACACAUGCAAGUCGAGCGGAUGAAGGGAGCUUGCUCCUGGAUUCAGCGGCGGACGGGUGAGUAAUGCCUAGGAAUCUGCCUGGUAGUGGGGGAUAACGUCCGGAAACGGGCGCUAAUACCGCAUACGUCCUGAGGGAGAAAGUGGGGGAUCUUCGGACCUCACGCUAUCAGAUGAGCCUAGGUCGGAUUAGCUAGUUGGUGGGGUAAAGGCCUACCAAGGCGACGAUCCGUAACUGGUCUGGGAGGAUGAUCAGUCACACGGGAACUGGGACACGGUCCAGACUCCUGCGGGAGGCAGCAGUGGGGAAUAUUGGACAAUGGGCGAAAGUCUGAUCCAGCCAUGCGGCGUGUGUGAAGAAGGUCUUCGGAUUGUAAAGCACUUUAAGUUGGGAGGAAGGGCAGUAAGUUAAUACCUUGCUGUUUUGACGUUACCAACAGAAUAAGCACCGGCUAACUUCGUG
rnacentral:rRNA from 1 species